AUGUCCUUUGAGUUUCCUGGCACAGAGUGGAAGAAGGCCCUCUUUCAAGCCGGAAAUCUUGUGACUGUGGUUGCCGAGUGGGCCUGUUCCCAGGUCCCGCAGUUCCCGAGCCGCGACCAGCUGCAGAAGGAGAAAAGCCUUUUUGCUUUCGGGACGAUUUGGUCGAGUCGUGCCCAUGGUCGGCUUAGAGGGAGAAGGGACAACCAGAAAAUCAUCGUUUGAGCGUCAGAGGAGAAAAGAAAACACAGAAGUUAAUUCUAAAAGGUAAGAAAAGGAGGGGACACGCUCCGGCUCAGGAUGGAGUGGGAGUGUGGUAGGCGGCGGGGCGAGGCGGGGGGGAGGUGGAC
rnacentral:lncRNA from 1 species